rnacentral:rRNA from 1 species
CAAGGAAUUUUCGUCAAUGGGGGAAACCCUGAACGAGCAACGCCGCGUGGGCGAGGAAGUCCUUCGGGAUGUAAAGCCCUUUUAGGUGGGAAGAAGGAAAGACGGUACCACCUGAAUAAGCAUCGGCUAACUACGUGCCAGCAGCCGCGGUAAUACGUAGGAUGCAAGCGUUGUCCGGAAUUACUGGGCGUAAAGGGCGCGCAGGCGGUGUGCCAAGUCAGAUGUGAAAUACUCCGGCUUAACCGGAGGGGGUCGUUUGAAACUGGCAGACUAGAGUGCAACAGAGGAUAGUGGAAUUCCCGGUGUAGUGGUGAAAUGCGUAGAUAUCGGGAGGAACACCAGUGGCGAAGGCGGCUAUCUGGGUUGCAACUGACGCUGAGGCGCGAAGGCUAGGGGAGCGAACAGGAUUAGAUACCCUGGUAGUCCUAGCAGUAAACGAUGAACACUAGGUGUCGGGAGAAAUUGACCCUCUCGGUGCCAAAGCAAACGUGAUAAGUGUUCCGCCUGGGGAGUACGGUCGCAAGAUUAAAACUC